GUGGACCAGUUGGGGGAAGGUGUAUAUAUAAAGUCCUCAAGGGAGGCAAGCUGACACUUUCUAUUAUAGUUUUGCCACAAUGAACUGUAGAUUAUCUUCUUUAGUUCUUCUAAUCACUGAAAGCAAUACGGCACUCCAACUGCAGCGGCCGAGUGGCCAAGAGACGGGUUACCUUCAAGAUCUCGUGGCUGUUCUCUAUUCCCUCUUCAUGCCAUGCAUCAAGGAUCUGGUCCACUUCAGCAUAACCCAGACCAUCAUCCAGACUGGAGAACACCCGGAAGCCGAUUGUACUUGUCAUUGCCGAUGGUGUGAUAGUGCGCCUCCCACUUUCAUCAAAAGACUAGAACGGAGCAGCGGGGAGAGAGAUUUAGCACAACCCCAAACCCUCCCACCUGGGAAAUUGGGUAACUUAGCCCUGAUGUGGUCAGGUGACUGCCUGGUCUAAUGGGGACACAUCAGGCCCAGGAAGAAAGCUAGUCUAGGACCCGCCCUCCACCAAGAGCGUUUUCUUGAAUGGAGGCCCAAUCCAUCACGUGAGCCUCCACUUUUAUUCUGAAGUGGAACAAUCCAGAGACAGGCUCAUGACCCCAGUGAGGACUAAGCUGUAGACAGAGGUUUAUUUUGCAGGAUAACAGCCCUGAGUUGACCCCUUCUGAACCAUACUUGCACAAAAAUGAUCUUGGCAUUUGAAAGUUUUAAGGCAGAAUCAAUCUUACUUAACUGGUUUUGCGGUUGCUGUAGUCAGAACUGCACCAUCUGUGGCCUUUGGGAGGACGCUGAAGGCACACCUAUUCAGUCAGGCUUUUAGCUGAUUUUUUAAAACUUUAUUUUAAACUUGUUUAACUUUUUUUAAAUUUAUAGAUGUGUUAAUUGGCUGUGAACCGCCCUGAGACUUUGGUCAUAGGCGGUAAAGAAAUAUGUCAGAUAAAUAAUAAAACAGCAUUUUCUGCCAUUCUUGGCA